rnacentral:tRNA from 1 species
GGUGCCAUGGCUUAGCUAGUUAGUGUGCCUGACUAAGAAACAAGAGAUUCUGGGUGUGAAUCCCAGUAGUAUCU